rnacentral:rRNA from 1 species
UACAGAGGGUGCAAGCGUUGUUCGGAAUUACUGGGCGUAAAGGGCUCGUAGGCGGCCAACUAAGUCAGACGUGAAAUCCCUCGGCUUAACCGGGGAACUGCAUCUGAUACUGGAUGGCUUGAGUUCGGGAGAGGGAUGCGGAAUUCCAGGUGUAGCGGUGAAAUGCGUAGAUAUCUGGAGGAACACCGGUGGCGAAGGCGGCAUCCGGGACCGACACUGACGCUGAGGAGCGAAAGCCAGGGGAGCAAACGGG